ACCUUAAUAAAAUCUCUAAAUAUCACCAAAGUAAUUGUUUGAGUCGGACAUACCAAAAUAAAUGCUUACAAAUCCAACAGUUAAUUUUGUCUUAAAUUAUUACUAUCAUUUAAGUUGAUGACACGAAAAUAAAUGAGUAUUUGACUAACAAAUUAUAUUUUUAAGAUAUCCUUAAUAUCUUUGGCAAAUUUCAGUCAAAAUAUUUGAGAAUUGGCUAAUUAUACUGAUCAGUUUCAGGAACAGCAAUUAUUACUCAUUCCAAAUCAAUAUUCUUCAUCUUUAACAACAAUUUAAGAAAUUGAGUAAAUUACACUAAAACGUCAUGAGUGGACCCCAUUAACAAUCGCGCGCAAAUGCAGUGUGCUCAUGGGAAAUCUACUUUUCUAUCUGCGCCACAUGUGGCAACCGCAACAAGCAAGGAAACACCACGACGAGAACCACCAGGAAAACUCCCUGCAAAUCCUGCACCGACUGCGCUAACGGAGAGAAGUUGAACGAAGAUAACAAAACAGAGGAGGUUGCAGCUUAUGGGAUGGCAAUGUAAGCUCUGCACAUGUGUGGCUUCAGCGAAAGGGUCACUUCUCAAGCACUAUCGAUUGAAGCACGGUACCUUUGGAAUCUGGGAGAAGAUGCGAGUGCCUUGAUCAAGGACUUUGAGGAUGCUGCUGAUGCACCUGUCAGUGUACAAGAGGAGUUGGCAGAGGAGGUGAUGAAGAUGUACCUGCUGCAGAACCAAGAUGGGUCAGUCGAUGAACCUACUGAUGUAGGGAUUGUGAUUGAGGGCAUCCCUGUCCUCAGAAG